GGGCCGAGCGGCUGGUCCAUGGUGCACCGAGUGCCAUUUUGAGUUGAUUUUGGAUCAGUUUGGUUCUAUUUUGAGCCAGAUUUGAGCUUGCAAAUUUGAGCCUGUUUUUGCUUGAAUUUGUAUCUGUCAAAUAGGAAGAAACAUAAAUUAAAUUUCUCAUUAUACUUCUAAGGUAUGAAAUUAUUUUGGUACUUAGAUUGAUUAGUCAGUUUGACAUCUAUUUUUUAU
rnacentral:lncRNA from 1 species